UGGGGAAUAUUGGGCAAUGGAGGAAACUCUGACCCAGCGACGCCGCGUGCGGGAUGAAGGCCUUCGGGUUGUAAACCGCUUUCAGUAGGGAAGAAGCGAAAGUGACGGUACCUACAAAAGAAGCACCGGCUAACUAUGUGCCAGCAGCCGCGGUAAUACAUAGGGUGCAAGCGUUGUCCGGAAUUAUUGGGCGUAAAGAGCUCGUAGGUCGUUUGUUACGUCGGAUGUGAAAACCUGAGGCUCAACCUCAGGCCUGCAUUCGAUACGGGCAAACUAGAGUUUGGUAGGGGAGACUGGAAUUCCUGGUGUAGCGGUGGAAUGCGCAGAUAUCAGGAGGAACACCAAUGGCGAAGGCAGGUCUCUGGGCCAAUACUGACACUGAGGAGCGAAAGUCUGGGGAGCAAA
rnacentral:rRNA from 1 species